AUCAGAUGAGAAAGAAAACCCUGUUGAGUUUGUCUCUAGCCGAGGUCUGUAAUGAUACAGUAUAGACAUUGUAUAAAUGGAAGCAGUAAUAGUUUGCUAUUCGCUGCGCUUUCUGUCAAAAGACACGUUGCCAUCCACAGAGCAACAGUUUUUCUACUGUGAAACGUGAAAGUAACUAUCGCCGAUGCAGGCGGUGUGUGAUCCUUAGUUAGAGACUUUGUUCGGUCUAAUAUAUCUGUAAAACAGUAACGUAAGUGUCCUAAGGUGAGUUCAGCAUGAACGGAAACAACACUUUGAGCAAAAUAGCAAAAACUCUUUCGAUUGUAAUUUUCAGUACGGACUUGGUCCGUGAAAGUGUGCACCACCGCUCGUUUCGGAUUAGUAGCAAGUUAUACGUCCGACGCGAGGUAUCAGAUAAAUGACUACAUGACUAACUGGCUUGUGGCAGCCAAAUAUACGCAGCAACGUUGCUUUCUGAUCCUUCUAUAUUGGUCCUUCCUAUUUUUGCGAAGCAGAAUUUGCAAAGCAUUGGAUUGUUUACAUACUAACAAGGAACGGGAGUUAGGUUUAGACUUUCAUAUGGCGGGUCUGUUUAUGCUAUUGAU
rnacentral:ncRNA from 1 species